GUGGGGAAUCUUGCGCAAUGGGCGAAAGCCUGACGCAGCCAUGCCGCGUGAAUGAUGAAGGUCUUAGGAUUGUAAAAUUCUUUCACCGGGGACGAUAAUGACGGUACCCGGAGAAGAAGCCCCGGCUAACUUCGUGCCAGCAGCCGCGGUAAUACGAAGGGGGCUAGCGUUGCUCGGAAUUACUGGGCGUAAAGGGCGCGUAGGCGGACAGUUUAGUCAGAGGUGAAAGCCCAGGGCUCAACCUUGGAAUUGCCUUUGAUACUGGCUGUCUUGAGUACGGGAGAGGUGAGUGGAACUCCGAGUGUAGAGGUGAAAUUCGUAGAUAUUCGGAAGAACACCAGUGGCGAAGGCGACUCACUGGCUCGAUACUGACGCUGAGGUGCGAAAGCGUGGGGAGCAAACAGGAUUAGAAACCCGAGUAGUCC
rnacentral:rRNA from 1 species